GAUGAACGCUAGCUACAGGCUUAACACAUGCAAGUCGAGGGGAAACGACAUCGAAAGCUUGCUUUUGAUGGGCGUCGACCGGCGCACGGGUGAGUAACGCGUAUCCAACCUGCCCACCACUUGGGGAUAACCUUGCGAAAGUAAGACUAAUACCCAAUGAUAUCUCUAGAAGACAUCUGAAAGAGCUUAAAGAUUUAUCGGUGAUGGAUGGGGAUGCGUCUGAUUAGCUUGUUGGCGGGGUAACGGCCCACCAAGGCUACGAUCAGUAGGGGGUCUGAGAAGAAGGUCCCCCACAUUGGAACUGAGACACGGUCCAAACUCCUACGGGAGGCAGCAGUGAGGAAUAUUGGUCAAUGGACGGGAGUCUGACCCAGCCAAGUAGCGUGCAGGAUGACGGCCCUAUGGGUUGUAAACUUCUUUUAUAAGGGAAUAAAGUGAGUCUCGUGAGACUUUUUGCAUGUACCUUAUGAAUAAGGACCGGCUAAUUCCGUGCCAGCCGCCGCCGUAA
rnacentral:rRNA from 1 species